rnacentral:rRNA from 1 species
UACGAAGGGGGCUAGCGUUGCUCGGAAUCACUGGGCGUAAAGGGUGCGUAGGCGGGUCUUUAAGUCAGGGGUGAAAUCCUGGAGCUCAACUCCAGAACUGCCUUUGAUACUGAGGAUCUUGAGUCCGGGAGAGGUGAGUGGAACUGGCGAGUGUAGAGGUGAAAUUCGUAGAUAUUCGCAAGAACACCAGUGGCGAAGGCGGCUCACUGGCCCGGUACUGACGCUGAGGCACGAAAGCGUGGGGA